UGAAUCCGCGCGGGAGAGUCCCGGCAGGCCGUGAGGCCGUGCCCGGGCGCCGAAGGAGCAAGUACCUCCCUUGAAUCUCUCAGGCCCCGUACCGCGUGGAUGAG
rfam:Streptomyces sp. C genomic scaffold supercont1.1, whole genome shotgun sequence.